CAAAAGAGAAAAAAACUAUGUGGAUAUUCAUUGAAAGAUUUAAACCAGAAUAUACUUUGCAAAAUUAUAGAAAUAAGAAUUCAUGUGAUAAAAUACAAAGAGAAUGAACAAAAACAAACCUAAUUAUGUCAAUCAUUAAUGACAGAUUCACAUAACCUGACAUCUUUGUCGAGACAAUUUAAAGAUCUAUUUCAUCUACCAGAGUAUAUAUACCUCUGCAAAAAAAGAGAAAGUUAGAGGAGAUACAAAGAAUUAGAAAGAUAAAAAAGAAAUGAUACCUACUACAACGAGCUGAGAAAGAGAAGAGUACACAUAAAUGUUCCAUAGAGCGAGGAGGGGGAAACUAAGUCAAGUUCAAACCAACUCCAGGAGAAAACUUGUUGAUAAAAGAGGCGGAGUGAAAUGAUGAGUAUCAGGAAACCCUACCAUUUAGAAUCAAUUUAUAGAGUGGUCUAUUUCCUAUUUUUGAUGGACCCUGUUAGGCUGUACUUAUUUGAUUUAUUUGGGCUUAUGUUGGGCCUUUU
rnacentral:misc_RNA from 1 species